UAAAUCUAGUGAAUGCACUGUCCACCUGGAU
rnacentral:piRNA from 2 species